rnacentral:rRNA from 1 species
UCGCGUUAUGAGAUGAGCCUGCGUUAGAUUAGUUAGUUGGUGGGGUAAAGGCCUACCAAGGCGACGAUCUAUAGCUGGUCUGAGAGGACGAUCAGCCACACUGGGAUUGAGACACGGCCCAGAUUCCUACGGGAGGCAGCAGUGGGGAAUAUUGGACAAUGGGCGCAAGCCUGAUCCAGCAAUACCGCGUGUGUGAAGAAGGCCUUCGGGUUGUAAAGCACUUUCAAUUGGGAGGAAAACCUACCGGUCAAUACCCGGUAGCUUGACAUUACCUUUAGAAGAAGCACCGGCUAACU